rnacentral:lncRNA from 1 species
ACUAACACAGCCAGGGAGGACUGGGGAAGGAUUCCAGCUGCCUGAGCUAAGCCAGGAAGGGAAAAUUGGAGUUAGCAAGGCAAGGAAGGUCAUUCCAGGCAGUGGAAACAGAAUGAGCAAAGGCAAGAGAAAAGGCUAUUUGCUUUUGAGCUACUCCGGGAGAGGAGCAGAGUCGGUUUGAGUUGCAUGACUGACAUCUUCUGGCUACAGUGGAUAUUACAGAAAGACUGAAACUCCGCAAAAGUGUGUUUGAAAAAAAGAAAAGCACCCUGGAAUUUGGAUCAUUAAGACUCUAGACAUGUGACCUGGAGAUGCAGCAUCCAUCUUGUGACCAUGAAGCAAUAGGGAUAAGGGUAAAAGUCUACACAUUGCAGAUUGCAGAUAAAAACAUGAAAAGAUCCUGGCUGCCUGAUGACACUACAGCUGCCCUGUGAACAGGUGCCUUCUGCCAUGAUCAUAAGUUUCCAAGUCCUCUCCAGCCACGUGAAACUCAGGUGCUGAAUAAAUUUGCUGAACAUGAAUGUGGGCGGCAGAUUGAAGAUUCAAGGACGCCCAGAUGUCUGGUUUGAAUACCAUUAACUGAGAGAGAGAACUCUACAAAAGGAACAGGUUUGGAGGGAUAUAAGAUAUGCUCAGUUUUGGACAUGUUGAUUUUGAGGUGCUGUGAGAUUUCAUAGCAGAAAUGUCUAUCAGGAAACUGAAAACAGAUCUGGGGUUUAGGAAGGAGAUCUAAACUGGAGAUACAUCGCCAGAAAUAGCUAUAUUUCAGAGCUUUGCUCAAUAUUUAUAUGUUUUUUGCAGUAGAGAAUCAUACAUAACUUGAUUUUUCCAACUUAAAUGUAUAUCUUGAAGCUUUCCAUGUUCUUUAAUAUUCUUUUACAUUAUUUUCAUGAUUGAAUAAUGUUCCAUUGGGCAAUUGUCUCAUAGUUAUUUAACUAAUUGUCUUUCAUUGGAUAUUUAGAUUGCUAACAGCUUUUGUCAUUGAGUGUAAUCUGUAAUGGACAGUCUUCAGCUAAGACAUGGUUCUCACUAGUGAGUAAUUCUUGAAAAGUGUUUUCUAGAAGUGGAAUGGCUAAAUAAAUGAACAUACAAAAUUUUAUGGUUUCAUACUGUAGCAGGAUAAUAUUUUCGAUGUAUAGAUUUAUCCUUCUACUUAAAAUCCACUUAUUUGCCUUCCUUCCUUGCCUGCUUCACACUUCAUUCAAGCUACUUGGCUAUGGCACCCAAAGAAAUAAUGUGUUUGUAUCUGAAAACAAAGAAAAAAAAGGAAUGCUAGCUUUUUUUGUUAAAAGCCUGAAGCCUUAGGGAGACAAAUGAUUCUUGGCAAAGGGGAAGGAGAAGAGAUGGAGGGGAAUUUCACCACUUCAUUACAAUUAGAACUUGGUAUAGAAAUAAGUUGAAUAUAUAUAUAUAUAUACGCAUAUAUAUAUACACACAUAUAUAUAUGCGUAUAUAUACGCAUAUAUACGCAUACAUAUACACAUAUAUACGCAUAUAUAUAUGCAUAUAUAUGCAUAUAUAUACGCAUAUAUGUGCAUAUAUAUACACACAUAUAUAUAUCUUGAACCCUACUCUUGCAGACUGAUAUUGAUACUCUUAUUAGUGCCUAUUGCCAAAUUAUGAGAAUAUUUUUAGUCCAUAAAUUUAGAAGACUUUGUACCCAAAGACCUAGGUUAUAUUUUAGAAUUAGUUUGUAUUUUUAAAAAUUAAAAUCUGAAUCAAAAUUUAAAAAUCUAAUAACAUUAAUUAUUUUAUUCAUUUUAAAAUAAAUCACAAGUCUAAUAACAAUCAAAUUUUAUUUGAUAGUUCACAGAUUCUCUAAUGUGAUGUAUUCUCAAACAUUUCAAAUAUCUUAAGUAACAACAAAAAAAUCACAAUAAUUAUUUCAAUUUUUCUCAGAAGCUGAAAAGUAUUAAUAACAUGGAUUUGGUAUGCUUUUUCUUUAUCUCUAUGUUUAUUUUACACCUCCUCAGGAUUAUAUAAAUAUUUAUCCCCAUAUAUUGUCCACCAGUAGUUCCAUGCAACUUGGAACAAACUGAAUUGAGACAUAGAAUUUGAGGAAAUCCUCCCUCAUCACCUAAUAAGAUGAAGUAUUUCUUAGAGACUUACAGUAAUCAAACUUUUGAAAUCCAUGCAUUUUCUUACAAAUAACUACUUCAUAUUUUUUUAAAUCAGCUUUAUUGAGGUAUAAUUUACAAAAAAACAAAA